UGUUUUUCCGUUUGGAGUGCUGGAGGCGUGGUCUGGAGGAAUGUAGGUCAAGGGGCGUGGCUGCUUCAACACUGCACAGCCGAUCUUCACAGCUGCAGCUAAUCAUCCAGAUUCAACCCAGCAAUAUUUAAACCCGGGCUGAUCAUCCCUUCAGCGCCGGUUCGUCAUCUACAACCCAUGUGUUCCCGCUCUGACCUGCUGCUUUCUCCGCUGUGCCUGCGUGCUUCCAGCCUCACCGUCCAGCCUCAGUCUCCACCUUGGGAAAACCACCAGUGUACUCAUCUCUGCCUGUCUCCCUCGUGUCCCAAAACCACCUGGACUCUUCCCCGUCGGCUCACCUCUACCUCGGACCAGCCAGGAGUUUUCCCCGCCCUGACACAAUCAACUGUGUUUCUCUGAGUACACGUUGUUUAAUUAAACCUUUUAAAACUG